rnacentral:lncRNA from 1 species
AACAGCUGACUUUAGGUCCCGUCGUUACAUUGAAGCGCUUGCAGUAUCUCCUGUAGUACUUAACCCGAGCAGCAACGGCGGCAGGUCUUCCGCCGUUGCACUCCCCGCCGUUUAUGGCCCGAAUCGUGGCACCGAACCCGCGGGGCAGAACGCGGCGAACAUUCUUCAUCCAGAACCAGAGUGCCGUCUUCCACGCGAUGACGCGAUUCUUCGCCACGAUGUCAGGGUUCUUCAAGCCGUUAAACCUGUUGGCUUUCCCGCACGGACCGUAGUUGUAGUUCCAUGUAAUCUGAAGUGGGCCCCUCCCGAAGUAUUGCUUCCCUGGAGCGCACGGCCACUGUCUCUCCGAUCCCCGGUCGCAGUACGUUGACUUCUGAAUCUCCUCAAUAUAGCACAAAUCUGAAGUAAAUCCCAAACAAACUGAUGGUAAAUACAAACAGUGGCCCAUCCAGAAUACAAGAAAAUGGAUUGUUAGGGCUGGAACAAAACGGUAUUCAAAUUUUUAGGGCUAGUAGAUCGAAACAGUCCACAGUUAUCUUUAGUGACCAGCAGAUUCGUGACAUGCAUAAAAUUAUGGUCCUUAAAACUACAGUUUUUUGUACCUAAUUAAAAUUCGCAAAAACUGCCUAACCCGACUCAGCAAUACUUCAAAUUAACAAAAGUCAACAAUUUCAAAACUUUACCAAUCCAAAAUUCUACAAAACCUGCAAACUAAGUGAACUGUUUAUCGAUAGAUUAAUUCAUUAAUAAUACAAUUAAUUUGUGACCCCCGUGAACUUGCAACCCGAUGAGCCUAUUUGACUUAUGAUCACACGAGUAACCCAACCUGUAGCCCGUUUAACAUGUAUGUUUGACGACUCUAAACGCAGUCUAUCUCCAAGUUUAGAACUCUGGUACAAAAAUCAUUUUAGAUAGCCGCUGAUACAAAAAUCAAGAGUGGUAGAUGCGAUAUAGCUUACGUCCAGUUUCGUGAGUGACGUGGGCGAAAAAGGCAGCAAUUUCACGCUUAGCAGCAGUUCUGGAGAGAUUUCCAAACUUGCGGUAUGAUUUGGUGGCAUUGAGGAAUGCACCCCUGGUGUAGAAUCGCUUCCCUUUACAGCUUGGAUCCGCCCGUCUAAUAAUGCUGUUGAAGAACGCCGAUGUCACUACUUUCCCAACAUGAAUACCCAAUUUGCCCUCCUCUUCGGACACCGAAUCAUCUUCAUCAUCAUCGUCUGCCAGCGACGACGAAUCAGUCCCCUCCUCGUCGUCAGUUGGCAUUACUAUGUACCCACCGUCGUCCAAGGCUUCAUCAUCAUCAAAGUACUGUUGUUCCUCCGAAUCGAUUUCUUCGAGGGAGUCCUGAUCAAAAUCCGCAUCAAAUUGAUCGAGAUCUGUAAUCUGCUGAUUGAGUUGGUCAGGGCAAGGAGAUGAGUCGACGACCUCGAUGGUGGUUACGUCUCUAGCCGUGGCUAGUCCGAAAGGAACGGCUAGGAGGAGAAGGAAGAAGGCUACGUGUGGAAACUUGGGCAUGUUUGAUAAGAUUGAAUGUGGGAUAUGCUGUAAUGAGGCUAUCAUUCUGCAAAUUUAUAGAGUAAGAAAAAUUGAUGAUCAGUGUCAUGUUAAUUAAUUCUUAGAAGAAUACCAUGAAAAUGUUUGCCGAUCGAAUCGAUGAUCUCAUUCAGAGCUAGCUUCACGCUCACGGUAACGUCUACUGUUUAUAGUUCCUUAAUUUUGUGUUGCUUAAUUAGUGUUUGAUCAGCUACUCUGACGACACAUCAACGAUGACUAUGUUUUUAUCCAAAUUAUUUGUUCUUGUCCAGGUUUAACUGUGAUUCUAAACCGGCCGCACUGUUCAUUCACACUCAUAAAAUUGUUCAUUAAGGGAUGCGCUAACUUGCACCUCCUAACUUAGGCCCCUGUGUGAUUCCUACCCUCUGCCUACUUUUUCCCCUCACCUCGCCAUUCCAGAUAAGACUCCUACUCCACCCGUACUGUUCAUAGAGUGAUUUCUACCCAUACGAUAUUUUCCCCUCAUCAUUAAGGAGAGAAACUGUAACCUUUAGCUUCAGUGAGGGAAAGUUGUCGCCCUUCGGUCUCGGUCGCGUCUGGAAUGUCCAGGUGACCUACAUGCCUUCGGUUUGCUUAUCCAACAUGAGGAUGGCCUCAGCUGCCUUCCACCCGGUUUCAACAGAACCAAUUGAAUCACGGUAACCCAUCCACGUCCAAUUAAUUUUCUUCGCUCUGGGAACUAUCUGUACAGAUCCUGAGGUAUUUACCGUUAAUUGCAGCCGGUUACGGUGCGGCUUUUGCAGAUGAAGCUUAUAGAAAGCAACCAAUUGAUUGUGACCUUUGGUUCAUGUUUUGAGCCAUAUUAUUAUGAUUAGUUCUAGAUCACAGCAAUAAUGUUUAGAAAGGUCUUGCAACAAAUCACUUCUACCAGAACAAUACUUCAGUAACACGGAUGAACCCAAGUAGAGAGAUUCUUCUGCACGUUAAGAUGAACCCAGAUAACUUGAUUGCAACUAAAACUCGCAGACAAAUCAUUCAGCUCUCGACAAAAUUAAAUCUCCUUCCUCCAACGCUUCCAUAUUAGCAUAUCCAUACAGGUUGAGAAACAAAGAAUGUACUAGUCUGAUCCAGCAAUUCCUCAGAAAUGCAAGAGUCAUCUAUUAUACACAAACGUGCUAAGCUAGCUACAGAGCAUACUUAACAAGUCAUACCGAUGGACUGGCAGAGCAUAUCAAGAAACAAAGGAUGCACUAGUCUAAUCCACAGUAAACCUUAGCGAUCAAUAGGAUAUAUAUAAACGUGCUAGUUAGCCACAGAACAUAGUUACACCUGAUGGGACUAGCUCAAUGACACCGUGUGGAUGAAAACGUUUACUACAACACCAUCUGCCACAUCUGAAAUCAUUCAAGCCUUGUGAAACAUCUCUACUGUCUAACCAUGUUUUUCUGCAGUUUACUCCUAUGACAACACAUUUGGGGAUCCAAGCAUAUGGAUUCAUGCCUAGUCGUACUCGAGGUAACCAGAAAGAACAUACUUGUGUGAACUGAAUGGUUAAGGUAUUUAGUACGAUACAGCAAUCAUGAAUUCAAACAUCAAAUCAUUAAGUGAAAAAAGCUCAACGAAUCCACCACCAUGCACUUUGCACCUCCCCUAACCCCAAAGACAAACAACAGUUAAGAAAUGAGUAGCAUUUCCAUUUAGUUUCACAGAGUACCACGGCCUAGUCAUGGAAGGAAAUGCACUAACGUAAGAGACACAAUCAGCAGUUGGGUUGAAUACAAAACUAUACUGGUAAUAAUCCACUGCAAAUAUUCAAGCAAAAGCUCAACAGUCAGAAUACGGAUAACAUAAGAAGGGCAACUCGUUUCACCAGGAGCUCUAAAACAGGGCAAUUCAUCAGCUUAUCAGCUACAUUGUCGACUAGUAACUAACACAGCAUUGCAGUAGCAGAUCCGAUACACAUCAUAGUACCAUCUUAUCUUAACAAUGUAAUAAGAAAUCCAUUCUUACAGCUUUGUUCUUUAAGCCUCGAAAAUUGCAAAACGAAACUCCCCUAUCCACUAAGCCAAAAUUCAUCUUAAAUAACCGGGGAUCUUAAUGCGAAUAAACAGCAUACUCAUCACGUAGGCAAGCACAAUGGAGGUGACCCCAGCAGAGGCAUAUGAAACCUUGACACUCUUCGCGCGAUUCUUGUCAAGGGCAAGAUCCAACAGAAUGAUCCCGAUCCCACCGAGAACAAACAUGAAUCCCGACGACAGGCCUUCGAUGAUGUACUGGCCGUUCACUCGGCCGGACAUGAACACGACGGGUCGUACGGAGCCGGUAACGGGAUCCUGGACGGAUCCGAUACCGGGAGGCUCGACGAUGACAUCGUAGACGAAACCGGAGAUGACCAUGAAGUAGGUCAGCAGAACCAGGGCGAAAACCGUCAUGGGCGAAGGGAGGGUCAGGGAUGGAAGCUUGAGACGGAGGCGGGGAGGGCGGAGGAUGACGGAGUAAGGGACGACUCUGAGGAGGUGGAAUAGUGGAUCGAUUGAUCCAUUUGCUGACUCCGAUUGAAGAGCUUGGGGAUCCAAUUUGGGAGCCAUUUCUUGGCACUGCGAUUUCUUCUUGUCUAGGGAUUGGGACUGGAAGUAGCGAGCUGAGAGCUGUCUGGUAGACUGGAAUUUUGCUUUAAUGGGGUGAAACAGUUUCAAAAUGCCCACUAGAAUAUCAACUAUUUGCAAAAACAAUCAAUAAAAUUAUUUUUAUGACAAUUCAAAUCCUUUGAGACCAUAUUAAAUCAAAAGAAACCAAAUUGAUAAUGAAUGUCCACAUCUCCAUUUUCGUUUACCUUGAGUUUUAUUAUGGCAGUAGUAUUAGAGAUUGUAUUUAAAAGGAUAAAUUAAAGAUUUUUUUUCUUUAUUUAGUUUUUCCUUCAUAAGAUUUUUAUAAUUUACUUAAAAUAUAUUAUUCUUUUCAUGAAUGUUAUUCGUUAUAAUUUUUUGAGUAGAAUGAUAUCAAUCUUGAUAUAUUUAAAUUUUUUUUAAAAAAAUCAUCUAAUAUCAAAAUCAACAAUCAAUAAUAUAUAUAAGAUUUUACUAUCAAUUAUGUCCAAUUACCUUUAUUUUUUUACAUAUAUAUUAUGCUUAUCGGGUGCUAAAUAAUUGAACAUUUAACUUUUACUAUAAUAUGAUUUNNNNNNNNNNNNNNNNNNNNNNNNNNNNNNNNNNNNNNNNNNNNNNNNNNNNNNNNNNNNNNNNNNNNNNNNNNNNNNNNNNNNNNNNNNNNNNNNNNNNNNNNNNNNNNNNNNNNNNNNNNNNNUUAGAUAUCUAAUUUACGGGUUGAAUUAGACAAUUAAUGAUUUAAGCCAGAUGAGAAGAGACACCAAAUGCCCUUUAAGAUUAUUCCCAACCGUUUAGAGUGUGAACAAAUUAUCAUUCGAAUCCGUUACAAAUUGACCUAGACAUUAUUCAAAAAAAUACAUUCUUGAGCAUAUUCCUGGAUGAGCAUCAUAAUCUGUCCCAGACUAAGAAAUGACAACUACUUGUCUCUUAAAGUAACAAAGAAGAAGGGUGAAAUAAUAGAAUAAAUUGAUUGAGUCAAAUUAAAGAGACAAUAACGCAUCGCCCGGCUUGUAUGUGGCCCUUAAUCAAAAUCCAAGUCUGAAAUCAAACCACAAAAUUAAGAAUAAUAGAUGGGAAAAAACAAAGGAUCUGCAUUGACUUUAUCAAGAGUUGGAAAAACAUGGCCAGCCAACCAACCUCUCUGUACGACAAUUGUACUUAAUUUCAACACCAAACAUUUGCAUCACUUGAUAAUCACACAUCACCUUUAUAAUAUAAUCAAUCCUCGAAACUCUUCUUCUUCUGCAACUGCAAUCAAUUCAAUCCUCUGUUUUUCCUUCUUCCUCUGUCAUUUGUGUCAUUCUCGUCUGCUAGCUAGGGAAACAUGAUGUACGAACAGCCGCUGCCGGCGGCGCAGCCGCCUGCAGUGACGAUACCCACGAACUUGGAGAAACAGCUAAUAAUAAGUACAGAUCAUGAUGUUGAUAAAGAAAGGCUGGAAAUCGUGGAUCUAAGCGGCAUGUCGUUUGAUACGCUCCCUGAUCCUCCCAUUAACUUGGCAUGCAUUUGCAAGCUUGAUCUAUCAAACAACAAUCUUCAGGUAUAUAUAUAUUUUUGUUUCAUAUAGGGUUGAUUAAUUGAGAUAUCAUGAUCUUAUAAUAUCUGGGUAAUCAACUUUUUCUUACUGCAGAGCAUUCCUGAGUCAUUAACAGCUAGAUUACUGAAUGUGGUGGUACUGGAUCUUCAUUCGAAUCAGCUCAAAUCCCUACCCAAUUCCAUCGGAUGUUUAUCUAAGCUUAAGGUGUUGAAUGUUGCUGGGAACCUUCUCGUCUAUCUUCCGAAAAGUAUCGAAAAUUGCAGGUAACGGUUAGAAACAUCCUAACUCUGUCUUAAUUCCAAUUUAGAAAUCUUAAUCCGUUUUAAACACCUAAUUCUUAAUUUUUUUCUAUGUGAGAAGAUAUACCGAUAUUUAAAAAUCAUUCUCGAUUUGUUCAUGCUCAACUUCGUGUGUCUUUCAAGAUUAGACAGCUCAACUAUUUGUAACAACACAUACCCACUUAGUAGAGAUCUCUAAACUUGUUUUCGUGUUUAAGACGGAUUAAAAUUUCUAAAUCGAAUUAAGAACAAAAUCUUCAAUAUCAUUUUUUAAGAAAAGGAUUCAGUAAUUUAUAACUAACAAAAAUAGUUUCAAAACGGUUGAAAAUUAUAACUAAUUACAACAAUAAUAAUUAAUUAUAAAAAGUAAACGAAUCUUCAUAAAAAAAGUCUUAUCAUCAAUUAUAAUUAGUUAUUUAACUAUUUUCCAAUAUAACACCCCUUUAAAUUUUAUUACAAACUAUUCAAAAUCACACAAAAAAUCUUUUUCUCUGCAGAUCUUUGGAGGAUCUAAACAUCAACUUCAACAAACUGACGAGACUACCAGAAAGCAUGGGAUACGAGCUAUUCAACCUGAAGAAACUAUCAAUGAACUCAAACUUCCUCGACUUCCUCCCGGCAUCAAUAACCCACCUCACUUCCUUAAGAACACUCGACGCCCGCCUCAACAAACUAAGAUCCUUACCGGAAGACAUCGACAACCUCAUCCACCUCCAGAUCCUCAACGUCAGCCAGAACUUCCACUUCCUCGAGACCUUACCCCACGCCGUCGGCAUGCUCAUCUCCCUCGAGGAGCUUGACGUCAGCUACAACAAGAUCAGGACGCUGCCGGACUCCAUCGGCGGCCUAAGGAGGCUGAGGAAGCUCGGUGUCGAAGGGAACCCUCUCGCUUCGCCGCUGGCGGAGGUCGUGGAGCACGGCGUCCACGCCGUUAAGGAGUACUUGACUGCCCGGAAGAUGAACGGCGGGGAGGAUGUGAUUAGUCAUCAUCACGGCGGCCGGAAGAAGCGGUCGUCGUGGGUUGGGAAGUUGGUUAAGUGUGGCACGUUUAAUGGGGGCCACGUCAGGAGCGAGGAGAGAGAAGGGUUCAUCCACGUGGCGGAUAAUUAUGGGUCGAUUGAUGCGCUUGCGUCUCCCAGGCACGUGGCGGCUUUCUCGCCACGUAGGAUGUUCUCUCACAUGAAUGUUUUCAUGGGCAGAUGAAAGUUUUUUGCUGUUGUUUUGGUUCUUUUUUACUAUUUAAACAUGUUUGGUAUUGGAGGUUUAUUGUUGUUUGAGUGUGGUUAAAAAUUUUAUCUCUCUAUGAUGAAAUGUAUUAAAUUUUUCGACGUUAGAUAAAAAGCAUUUUGUAUAACGUAUAGGGUUGUCGCGUGAGCUUUUGUCGGAAUGCUUAAGAACAAGUUCGAUUACAAUAACACGAUGAAGUUCACCGCUUGGGGAAAUCGGACUGGUAGCGAACAUUACGGGCAUGCAGCUAAGCGAUUUUAACGUAUAUUCAUGCAUGAAUGAAGGUUAGUAGAAGAGUACGCAACGUGUGAAUUGCGAGUGGAUUCUAGAUUUAUAUAUUGCUCACGUGUUUGUUGUUUAUGUACGCUUUGAGUUCUAUCUAUAUAAAGAAAAUGUGACGAUACGAUAUUGUCAUGAUGUGGUAGAUGACGAUGACAAGAAAGUAUGACUGAUGUCUGGAUGAAGACUAAACUCUUCAUGUUGGGGUUAAAAUCGAGAUAUUAUAUUGAUAAAUUGAUGUAGAUUUAAUUUGUCUAGUUUAAAAGUGUUCGUCGAUUAAAGAAUUUUUUAUAUUUGUACACGCGUUUGAACCGAAGGAACAGAUUUAGACCAAUGAUUCUUAUUAUCUAAAUGUUAAGUAAAACCCAGUUUUAAUAGAGUCAUAUUGCGCCGUGCUAACUGCGUAGUAAAAUCUUCAUAAAAAAAAUGUUAGUUACUAGCAGGAUUUCAUUUGUUUCUUGUUUUUUUAACUAUCUUUCUCAGUCAAAUAUUAUUCAUUUAUUGUACUAUUAUUCUGUUAUCGUGUGGUUCUUAAAUAUUAUGUUUUUUAACUUUUAUUUUGUUUAGAGCUGACUCUUUUAUUAAAAAGUUGAAUUUUUAAGGUACGAAAUGUAGACAUCCCCUCGAUCGUUUUUCUGACUCUACCAUCGAAUAUGUCGGCAAAAUGCAUGAAGAAGAACAAUUCGUAUAACAUGAUAUAGGAAAACUUACUCCCAAUUUGUAGGUAAAAAAGAUUCUAACCCUAAACCCAUAAUCAACCGGCGAUGAUCAAUUAAAAUAGAUAGAUUCUAACACCUAAUAUGCUGGCCAGGGGUGACGUCCAGCUGCUUACAAAACUCAAUAUAAUACCUAACCCGAUCAUCUACUUCACCAGCAUUUCCACCGUGGCACUCCAACCCGUUCACUCUAUGAAUCGUCUCCCCGAAUCCCUUCCUCUCCGUGGGACCAACGCUCGUCGUCCAGAACCACAACGCCGUCUUCCACGUCAGCACCGGAUCGGUGGCCACUAUUUCAGGGUUCCUCAGACCGUCAAAUCCGUUGGCCUUCCCGCACGCACCGUAGUUGUAGUUCCACGACAGCUGAAGUGGGCCCCGACCGUAGUACUGCUUCCCAUGGACGCACGGGUAUUCCACCGCCGACGAAUCGCAGUAUUUACCUCGUUCUGUUUCCUCAACAUAGCACAACUCUACAAGAAAAGCCCGAAAACUUUUGUUAGAAUAAAAAAUAAAUAUGAUUAAUGGCGGACUAAGUUAAGGAUGACAAUCAAAACCGUCGGGUAAAAUCUGAAACUCAUUCGAAUAUACUCAUUUCAAAACCUGUCGAAGUUAAAUUUCAACCGGACACGAAUAAAUCCGUAAAAUCAAUUUAACAGGUAUGAGUUAGAAUAAACGCAGCACUAUUUAUCCCGUACCCACCCGUAUACACAUACAACUUCAUUUCAUUUAUAUUUUUUAAAGAUGAGGUUAAAUAUGUUAAUGUUUUUAUUUUCUUCUCGUUCUCUAAAACAAUGAAUCUGGACAUUAAUUUCUCUUUCACUCAUACUUACUUUCUCCAAACUUUGAUUUCUUAGAAUAUAUUUUAAUUUGGUAUUUUCUUUGGAAUGUCUUUUAUUUUUUUUAACAAAUUUUGUAUAUUAAUUUAAUUGGUUAAGUUGCUUUAACUAAGUAAAAUCUAUCAAAUCGAAUAAUAUUCAAACCCAAUUCAAAAUGGGGAUGGAUAAUGACUUGAUAUCCAUUGUAUCAAUCCGGAUGAGUAUGGGUAAAACCCAAUUUAACUGUUGGGUGGGUGAUGGAUAUAUGAAAUCGUACCCAUCCCCACCCGUUACCAUCAUUAGGCUAAAUCACACUCUUUAAAACAUUCGUUACACUGACUCGAUUUGCAUAACAAAUUAUCAACUGGUCACCUUCCUAGUAAAACAGUCAACUUUCUAUACUCUCAAUUCUUUUUGUUCGUACUAAAACAAGGAGAUUUUUUCAAGAACAUUCUCGAUUUCUCUACUCAAUUUCGUGUAUACGUGUUAAGGCUAGGUACAUCGUCGAACUUCCCUUCUCACUCGAGGAUCUCUAAGAAGGAUUUAAAAUUUGAUUUUUCUCCAAAAUGACUAAUAUAGUCUCAAGUCUGAUCCACACUGGCUACCCAACUCGCUUGAUCGGUUGAGAGGAGACCAUCCACGCAGAAAAUGUUGUAUAAAAAACUCUUUGGGAUUUCAGUUUUUACAAAUUAUUCACAAUCUCGGAGGAUUUAAAGGAAAAACAGUGUUCAUGUAUGGCACUUACGACCGGUCUCGUGGGUGACAUGAGCAAAGAAGGCGGCAACCUCGCGCCGGGAUUCCCGGUGGUCGGACUGGAAGGUACCGAAGCGAGGGUAAGAUUUGGCAGCCUUGAGGAAAUCUCUCCGCUUGUAGAACUGCUUUCCCUUACAUCCGGGUCCGGCCUGGUUCAGAAUCUUGUCGAAGAAUUCAGGAGUGACAAUACUAGACAACUCAACUGCAGCUACUGUGUUGGUGGGAUUAAUGAUGAGUAGUCCUCCGCCGUAGAUUUGAAGUACUGUGGCUAUCGUGUGAAUGGCCAGUUGAAUCUUCCCCAUGCCGGAAUUUCGGCGAUGGGAAUGAUACAACAAUUAGUGUGUAGAGUUAUAUAUCUACGGGGAUGUAAUAUGUUUGAGUUUGGACGAAACAUUACUGUAGAGUGGGCAUCAUUUAUAGAGAUGGGAAAUGACAGAGGGGUGUUAUUGGUGAGUACGUACUUACGUAAUUGCAUGAUCCUAUGUCUUGUUUUUCUUCCUACGAUUGGUACACAACAUCCAAACAAAGGAAUCGUAGUUAUUUGUAUGUGUUGUGCUCUCAUUAUAAUUAACCAAGGUUUAAGCUUCAACGAUGAUAGUGAUACGUGAAUUUUGGACGUAGUAAUUAUUUUAUUUUGAUUAGCAAAACUCAAUUUGGCCCAAGAUAAUCAGCAAAUGGCUAGUGGAGUGGGUACCAAUAGUACUUGCGCGUGUUAGUACCUAAUCUGUGUAAAACUGACAACAGCCGGAUCCGUGGCGCAAUGGUAGCGCGUCUGACUCCAGAUCAGAAGGUUGCGUGUUCGAUUCACGUCGGGUUCAAUUCCCAGUUAACUACUCCGGCUUUUUUUGCACCGGCUCCCCCUUCUCUCAGUUCUUAUGGGCUUUCGGCCCGCGCUCCUUUAAAUUGAAACUGAGUCCGCACCCAGGCCCAUAUUUAUAGACCAAGUGAGAGGUUUGCCAAACGGAUUACGUAAAUUAUUUUGUACACAUAGGCAAGUAGGUACACAACAUAUUACGUUUCUGGGCUCUGGUGUUUGUUUUGCUUUGCGUAAUGCCUUUUUGUUUGAACAUGUCUUUAAUCGUUUCCAUUUUAUUUCAGUUCCUUGAUUGCUACAUGAUAGUUGUUCAUGAACAUAGUUCUCCAGAGCAGUUCGGAACAAUAUAUAUCGUUUAAUAUUCGAGUUGGUUUUGAACCAUUCAUGACUAAGCAAAGUCGCGAGCUGGUAUCUUGAUUAUAUGCUCUACUAUGUGAGCUUACCACCCCGCUCGAAAAUGAGAUUCAAUAUUCCAACUUGAACUCCCGUAUCCAAAUUUAUCCAACAUUCAGUUUAUUAAUACAGUGUAGGAAAGGAACACAAGUAUUCAACCUGCCAUGAAACUAGAGACAAUCUUCACAGCAAGUUAUUAACUUAUUCAUUUAUUUUUUACUACCCUCUUUUACAUUUAUUUACCGUGCCAGCUCAGCUGCCAGCUAACGGGGGUACAGAUAGAGUAGUGUGAUAAUUAACAGCGGGCGUUAGCGUCAACGCCAAUUCCGAGCUGCUGGCAGUACUGGGUAUAGUAGCUGACCCGAGCGUUAACGGCAGGAGUGUUGCCGCCGUUACACUCCAUGCUGUUAAUCUUACGGAUGGUGGCUCCGAACCCCUGAGGAAGGACGGCACGAACAUUUGUCAUCCAAAACCACAACGCCGUCCUCCACGCAAGCACCGGGUCUCUAGCCACGAUGUCUGGGUUCGCCACCCCGUCAAAUCCGUUGGCUUUCCCGGCUUCUGCGUAGUUGUAGUUCCACGUCAGCUGAAGUGGGCCCCGGCCGUAGUAUCUUUUCCCCUGAGCACAUGGGUACCGGCUCCGGUCGCAAUAUUCUGCCUUGUUAAUUUCUUCAAUGUAGCACAUACCUGCCGACAAGUGAAAAAAAAAGUCAACGAAGAGUAUAAGAAAGUCAAGUAAUAUUUGUUUAUUAAAAAAUCUUCAUCCAAAAAUUAAUAAUUGUCGAAUGAGAAAAUUCAUUUAACAAUUACUAGGAAUAUAAUAAUGUUCCUAAAUGAACAAAAUUUUAUUAGCUAAAUCACAUAAGCCAAUUUCAGUAUUUAUCCACAGUUAAUUAAUUAAUUAAUUAAACGGAUUAUUUUGUUGUAAAUUAGAAAUAAGAUUUUCUAAAUUAUGAAGAAUUGCAUGAUAAAAAUGUGGUUUAAAUUGUUAAGUGAAUAUUUAAUUGAAAUGGCAGUUGAGGCCAUAUUAUAAAACCGUUACAGAAAAUUUGAGAUGGAUAUGGUCUUAGAGUAUAGUAAGUGUAGCUUACUUCCGGUUUCGUGGGUGACAUGGGCGAAGAAGGCCGCGAUCUCGCGCUUGGAGCCGGCAUCGGAGCCCCGGUUGCCGAAGCUAGGGUAGGACCUAGCAGCCUGGAUAAAGGCCUCGCGGGUGUAGAAUGACUUCCCGGCACAGUUGUUGCCGGCGCGGUUGCGGAUGCCGUUGAAGAAAGCUGGGGUGACUAUGUUAGCAACCUGAGCUUCCACGACGGUGGUGGUGAUGGCCAAAGAGGCCACGAGUGUGGCUAUGGCUGCUAUGAGUAGCUGAAGAAGUUUUGCCAUGGUUGAGUGGACGAUUUUGGUUGUGGAAUGUGGUGUGUUGGGUUUGUGGUGAUGUUGAGAUGGAGCUAUUUAUAGGGAAAAAUGGAUGAGUGGGUUGUUGGGUUUGGAAGACCGAGUAAACCGAAAUAGUACCGAGUUGCCACGAAAUGGGUCUUGUAUGUAGAAUUCUAGCUAAGCUAAGUUCUUCAACCUUGUCUGCCGUGCUGAUGGGUUCACUUUGAAAAUGAUGUCUUUCUUUUGGACUUUCAUUCGUAAGCUACCAAAAUUUCCAUUGAAAAUGGAUAGCCAUCACCACUAUUAGGGAUUGCCAUUAGGAAAGAAAUGAUGAUGAAGAUUUGGGUGAAAGAUAUAAGAAAAUAUUAUAACCAUAAAAAAAUAAAGAAUAGGAAUAUAAUUAAUCGUGUGUUCUGUGUUUGAAUUUUCGUUCAUAAUUUGAGUAUGUUUUCAACAAACGAUAAGAUAUUUCUAAAUUAUAGAUGAAAUGGAAAUUUAGGGACUCCCAAAGCUGGUCAUAGCUGUGCGUACUGUUGUGAGUGUUGACUGACUGGGAGGAUAAUGUUAUCAAGUAUGGGGAGGAGAUUUAGGCGUGGAUUCGAAGCUGCAGUCUGCAGGACAAAGAAAAAGAAAUUUGAGGAGAAGAAGGAAGUGUUGACAUGCAUGCAUGUAUUACGUAUAGAGUUUGUUGAUGAAACUUUGUCGCCAUCUUUAGAUCGCAGGAAGAAGGUGGAUUAAUAAAGCGAUCACCUUGCACCGCACAAAACAAUAAAGCGAUGAAACUCACCGCCUCCGGAAUUACAGGCACAGAGACACGAACUUUACGGGAACAUAAACGUACGGUUUCGAAACUGGGAAGGCAAAAUGAAUUUAUACAUAACUCCACAAUACGACUCGCAUAUUUUUGACUCAAUUCAUCGAUGAAGAUGAUGCCCGUUACUUUCAGCAACAGUCCCCACUCCCAAACUUCGACUAGGCUCUGGUGAAGCUCCACCAGGCCAUCGGCGAGGCCGUCGCGAAGCUUCGACGAAUUGUUCUAACUAUUUAUGACAACCAAUAACUAAUUAAUUAUAUAUGAAAAUAACUAGUCAUAACAAUUUAACAAUACUUAGUUAUAUAACUAGUUACAAGAAGAAAUGAUAGACUCAAAUAUAAUGCAAAAUGAAGCUUCGUAGAGAGUUCAUAGCCUGAGAAACCGGCAACCCUCAACUCCACGAUCCUUUAAAGCAGCUAGCAUGGUUAAAUAGAAAGGCAUUCAAUACUAAGUUCAGUGACCAAACAUAAAUAGUUUCAUUUCAUUAGUUUUGCCGGCACCAAUGAUCUUCAGCUCCUAGCACCCAGGGUUCGAACUGAAGCUUCUCUGCAUCCUUCAGUUCAAACUCACAGAUUCUCAUUUGAUCAUCUCAAUCUCUGCAUUCGAUCAACAUGUCAUCUACCACUUACAUAUGAAUAUCGAGUCGAAUGAGUGAUAUCGUUUAAUAAGGCAGAUGAGAAAGCUUUAGAAUCUAGUAAUCCAUUCCUUAUUCAAACACGCGACAACUCAAGUCAUUGGGAUAUCUAACAAAGUCAUAACAUAACAGCUUAUGGUACAUAUGAGAUAUUAACCAUGAAACAUUGAAACUGUACAUAUCUAACAAAGUCAUAACAUAACAGCUAAAAGUACUAACUUGUUAAAACCAUUACGAAAAUUUACGCGAUCGGUCUCCAGGACGACGCACAACCGGUUCAACCAACCUCCAUCCGCUUUUUGCAAAACGAUUACACUGAUGUCAAGCUAGAAUGAAGGUCAGUAAGUUGAGAGUUCCUUGAGAAUCUAAGCCAAAGUUUCUUCUCAGCAUAUAGAAGACAAGGCUGCAUAACAAGGCCAAUAGCAAUGGCUGCAAAGCUAACGGCCAUGACCUUAAUCGGAGCAAUAACCAAGACCACCACCAACAGCAAGCUCGGAAUAAUGCACAUAACAACAGCUCCAACCGUCCCCAAGGGAACCUUGUAAGGCCUCGUCGCAUCAGGGUAAUCCACCCUAAGCUUAACGAAUGCGAUGAACUCCAUGAUCAUACCGAAACAGUAGAGGAAGUUCUCCGCUGCAACGAUCUCCUGAAAACUCAUCCACGAGAGCAACACCACCCCGGAGGCCGAGAACAGGAUCCCUAUCACAGGGGUUCCAUACCGAGACCUCUUGCUAAAGAAUCGAGGUAGCAUGCCUCGCUCCGCCAUUCCCAGGAGUUGGAACGAGUCGCUGCUCAUUUCAGCAAUGAACAUCCCCAUGUUUGAUACAGCUGAAGCUGCUUGUACCCAGUACAUCAGCCAAGCGCCUCCGAUGAUGGUGGCAAUCUCCGAGAAGUAACCGUCUCUCCAUUGGUUCCGGUCAAGUGGGAUUGCUCCAGUUCCGAUUAAUAGGGGGAGAAAGUAGCUGAAAACAGUUAAGAUCAGUGCGUAGAAGAGUGACUUGGGUAGGGUUUUACCAGGGUUUUCAACUUCUCCUGCUAGUGUACUGAUAGAAUCCCAAUAGUUGAGAUUCCAGAACAGUGUGUUUAAGUAAAGUGUCCAGUUCACAUUGCUCAUAUCAAUGGCAACCCAUCUCGAAGCCUCUAGUUUCGGAAUCGCUAUGAUUCCCAUCAGAAGAAACGGAAUGAGAGACAUCACUCCCAACAGUAUAGCAGCCCAUCCAACAAUGGUUAAUCCUCUAUAGUUCAACAGAGUAAGCAAGAAAGUCAGAACCAGAACUGCGACCAUUCGAACGAAGCCAUCAUCGAGAGCUGGAACGGCUGGUUUCAGGUAGUCUAGAAACAGAACAGGGUAUAGUGCAUUGUCAAUGACACCACUCAGCCAUUUCAUCCAACCUUGUUGGAACCCCCAGAACGGGCCGAGAGCCGAGGAAACCCAGACGACAUAGCCACCAUUUUCGGGGAACAUCGUGCUGAGUUCUGCUGUGAUUAGAGCCUCGGGAAUGCUCCACACGAACGGGAAGAUCACGAACCCAAGAAGUGCUAGAAGUGGCCCGGCUGCUCGAACGCUGUCUUCGACACCGAAUGGUCCUCCCGAUACUUCAUAGAAGAUCAGAAAGACGAGCGGAAGGAUUGAGACUUUGCGAUAUUUAUCGUGCUUUGGCGAAGAUGGCGGUUCACCAAUUGCUGCAUACUCAGUAUGGUUGGAAUCCAUGAAAAAAGCCAACACCUUUUGCUUCUGCAUUGAAGUAUAAAAGAUUUGAGUUAUGUUUAAGAGCUGUAAUCCAACAUAGAAUACCGAAAUUCAAGACUAAACAUUGAAAAUAGCAAUAUACGUGAUGCUUAGAGAUUAUGGCAGUCUGAUAAGUUGAGUAGAGUAAUAGCUUGAACAUUAAUCAACCAAAGAAGAAAUCAUUGAGGAACGAUUCAAAAGCUGGAACAGUUUAUCAUUCUAGACCUUCACAAAGAAAUCUGGGUUUUUCCUAACAUCACAUACAGGUGGAGCAAUCCACACCAACCAACUUCACAAACCAAUCUAAACACAUCAUCAUCUAGGCUUCAAUCUUAGAAACACGGGAAAAUGGCUGCAAAUGAAAAGAUGACGAAAACUCACCUCUUCAAGAAACAUGCAAAUUUACAGAAAGAGCGAAGGCACAACAGGGGAACCCAACUGAUUUAGAUUACGAAAUGGCACUGAGUGAGUGGGAAAUGAAGAAUAGAGACCAAAAGCCAAAAAUCGCCAACUAACCAUGUGAAAACGGGUGGCGAGACAGCAUUGCGAAUGCGUCAGCUUCCCAGUGACUGGACACAAGUACAACCACGCGUCCCAGAAAAACCUUCGUUAGUUUAGCGGUACCGCUUCCCUUCCAACUGCAAAUACACCAUAGUAAAAUUUCAGGAAGGUUUCUUCUUUUUCUUCCUUCUGUUUGAGAAUAAAAUAUAAUAGACUAUGCAAAGUGAAGGGAUAAAAAGGAGAGAAUUGUUUUUACGUUUUACAGUUUACGGCUAUUACCAAAUGCAGCGGAGUUCCAUGGGUUGGUAUCCCGCCACCUUUUAAGCUGAGAAUGCUUACUAAAACGGCUUAGUCUGCUGUACCAGUAACUCAACGGCUACCAGUAAUCCCCACAAGAACAACCCCCACCAUUGAAACGGUAGAAAACUUUCGGAUCUCUAAUCAUUAUCUCUCUGUUAGAAGCUAGAGAGAUCUUCUUCGCUACCUGAUGGCAAUCUUGGCAGACUCUAAGGUUCUUUCUGAUGAUAACAGGCUUCCCAACAGCUGUUGAUAUCAAGCCAAAGCCGAUAGCAAGUUUGACACUGUGAAGCUUCGGUGAAUUGGCUCCCUUCUUUAUCAAGUCCGCUGGUAUGAACUUAGAACACGAAUAGGCAUGGAUGCUUUCCUCCCCUGUUUUCUUUAACAUCACAUCUAGGACCUCAAUGAUCAUGUUUGUCUGUGGGUUGGUCUUGCCAUUGUUAAUGAACCUCUGGCUCUUACGUUCUUCAGUCUCUACUUUGCAACAUCCAUUUGUUUUCUUUAGCCCUUUCUCCUUCAUCAGAGAUUUAAUCCUGUUCACAUCGUCUGACCUCCCGGCUUCAACGUACAUCUUUGAAAGCAAGAUAUAGCAACCGGUGUUGUCAUGUUCAAGAGACAAGAUUUCCUUGGCAGCUAGUUCAGCUGACUCCAGGUCAUUGUUGUUCCUGCUUGCAGCUAGUAAUGAACCCCAGAUUCUUGCUGCAGUUUGUGCCACCAAUGGGAUCCCUUUGAUGAACUCCUUCGCUGCAUUGAGAUCUCCGGAACUUCCGAGAAAAUCUACCACACAGCCAUAAUGCUCAACCCCUGGAUCAAUAUUGUAGUCGGGUUUCAUUGCAUUGAAGAAUUCCCAACCCUUGUUCACCAGGCCAGAAAUGCUGCAAGCAUACAACAGGGAAACGAAAGUUCCAUGAUCCGGUUCAAUACCGCUGUCCUUCAUGGAUGAGAACAAGUUGAUAGCAGUUUCCCCAUAUCCAUGCAUAGCAUAAGCCAAUAUCAUAGUGUUCCACGAAGCCGAGUUCUUACCCGACAUUCCAUCAAAAAUCGUCCUUGCGGUCUGGAGGUCCCCGCAUUUUGCAUAAGCAUGAAUAAGAGCAUUGUAAAGUACGGUAUUUAAACCGAGUUUCACAACGUGACCGUGGAUCUGCUUGCACUCGCUUAACGAAUCUAGUUCAGCAUAGGCAGGAAGAACGCUAGCAACUGCGAUGGCGUCUGGUUUAAGGUUCUUCAACCACCACAAGUCGUGAAACAGUUCAAGAGCUUCUUCAUGCUUGUCAUUCUGUACAUAAACAGCAAUCAUGGUGUUCCAUGACACCAAGUUCUUUUUAUUAAUUUUCCCAAAAAGCUUCUCUGCCGAUCUCACUGUUCCACAUUUUCCAUAAGCAUCAACCAGAGCAGUUUCCAGAACUAUUUGAGGCAGAAGAAGCUUUCUAAUUGCAUAGCCAUGGAUGGAUUUAAUCUCCUUUAGACCUCCCAAUUGCGAACAAGAAGGGAGCACAUUUAUCAUGGAAACAGAAUCUGGAACCAAUGUGUGAUCCUCUUGCAUUACUUUCAAGCAAGCCAACGACUGCAAGUACUUCUUACUUGUAGCAUAAGCACUCAUCAGAGCAUUCCAAACAACAGCAUUUUUCAAUAGGAUCACACUGAACACCCUCUCCGCAUACCCAACUUCACCACAUUUACCAUACAUAUCCACAAGAGAUGUCCCAACCAUAACAUCCAAAUAAAUCCCUUUUCUUAUCACUUGACAAUGAACUUCCUUCCCAGACUUCAAACAGCUCACUACAGAACAAGCCCCAAGAGCACUAAUGAAACUAACCCGAUCCGGUCCGACCCUCGACCGAACCAUCUCCCUGAACCAAACCAACGACCUCAACCCAUCUCCAACCACCAAACACCCACCAACCACAGUGUUCCAAGAAACCAAGUCUCUCACGGGCAUUCCAUCAAACACUUUCUCCGCUGACUCAACCAACCCAAACGAGAAAUACAUCUCCACAAGAAAGUUACACACGUACACGUCCAUAUCCAACCCGAGCUUAAUCACCUUGCCGUGAACCCUCUCCCCUUCACCCAAAUCCGACAACUCCCCACACGCUUUGAUCACGAAGGGGAAAGUGAAGUGAUCGAUCCUAACCCUGUCUCGCUCCAUCCUCCGGUGAAAAUAUACGGCUUCAGAGAACAACCCGUUGCGUGUGAACCCUCUGAUCAUGACGUUCCAUAUGAAGGUGUCUGAAUGGUUCAUUUUGUCGAACAGCUUGAGCGCGGUGUCCAUCGAACCCGAGUCUACCACUGCUGUAAGGGAACGAGUGAGUCCCAGACUGUUGGGUUUGCUCCAUGAUGAUUUUGCAGAGCGUGGGGGGAUUUGAGCUUGCUUUAUUGCUUUGGAUUGUUUUGUGGGAUUCUCGAUUGGCUUGAAUGAGUUGUUGCAGCAGCAGCUGCGAAGAAUUGCCGCCAUUUUCCUUUUUCAAGCCCUGCCCUAAUUCAUUUUAUUUGGAUAAUGUAAUGCAGAUCGGGGUCGGGUUUGAUACAUUUCGGGUCGGGUUGCGAGUUGCCUGGUUCGAAGCCCACUGGUCUUUUCUAGGCCUACCCAUGAUAUUCUGUUUGAUUAUUUUUUUAUCCCACUGAAAUUUUAAAAAACCAUUUCGUUAAAUAUUUGUGUUAUCUUGUGUCGUAUGUAAUUUCGAGAUUAAAAAAUCAAAGCUCAUUACUGUACAAAAUCUUCAUGUUUGGUCAUAUAUCUAAAGUUUAUUAAUGAUUACAUAAUUAUGAGUGAUUUAAAGUUUAACUCAUGAUAUUCUAUCGGCUUGAUUAUAACUCAUAUUAUCAUGUAUUUGAUCAAAUAUCGACAUCAUGGCCUAGACCGAUGUCAAAAGCUUACCGACAUAGCUUGGCCAAUGUCAAAUCACGAAAUGCGACAAAAUAUGAUGUAAUUAUUUAUUUAGAUUCACUAUAACUUUAUUCCCAUGCAUGUCUAUCGUUGUUUAAUUCAUGUAGGUUACAUUUUUAAAGGAAUAAUAGGACUUUGACUCCUCCUAUUUGACCAAGUUAACAAAUUAAUUCUUGUACUAUAAAAUGCUUAAUUUACCUGUCCUACUUCACUAAGUUAACAACUAAACCCUUUAGUUACUCUUUUCAUCAAUUUAGCUUUAACUUGCAGUGUAUCAGCACUGUCAUGCGUGGGUUUUGAUAAGAUUUGAUCCAAUAACUCCAAUGUUAAAUUUGAAUGUGAGAAGAUUCUGACAUAUCAUUCGAAAUAUCAUUACAUUUUAAUACUCAAGUUAUGAAAGGGGUUCUGAUGAAACUAAAGGCUUUUGAUGAUGUAACGAGUUUAUCAAAUUCAACAAUUAUUAAACCAUACAUAUUUUUAAAUAAGAAAAACAACAAGUUGAAAACAAAAAGGGAAGAACCCUAGAUGCCUAGCUGCCGCUUUAUUCAAGCACCGUUGCCGCUUUUUGGAGAGUAUAAUAUCGAUUUCGUUGCCGCCGCUAAUCCAAUCGAGACCAUGUCUCUCCCACAUUCCCGUUUCGAUCUUCCCAACGCAACAGGCCUGCGCGGAGCUCCGUCGUUAGGAGCUACGCCGGCUCUCGCGACCGACACGAAGAACGUCGUUACCUCCCCAGCGGCCACCGCAACGCCUCCAACCACCAUCGCCGGAUUCCCCACCGCGAGCCCGAUCUGGCUCCUCUAUCUCGACGGCGCACGGAACCCCGACUCCAAGUUCUACGACCACACCCACGUGUGGCACGACGAACAGGGAUCUCCCGAAUCCACCGCGAGCCCUCGCGCUACUACCACACCUCCAACACUCGCCCUGGGUUUCCAACCACCACCGCCAGUCACCGGGAGGACCAACACCUCCUCUCCAACGCCUCCCACUGCUGAUUCGGGGAGCACAUCUCGGAGGAGACCUACAACCAUCAAAUCGGCCCGGAAAUUAGGGUCUAAAACUCUCAACUAAGAAGGAAGGAGAGAUAGCCAUGAGACUAGUCUUAUGGUGUUUCCAAUAAGGACUUUUACGCGUCCAUUCCUAUUGUUUUGCUUCUUUUAGUCAUGUGUUUGCGUACUUUUGCGUAUUGUUCUUUGGGGACUCUGUUACUUUACCGUUGUCCGUUAGCUGGUGAGCAAGGACCGAGGUUAACGCUUAUUGGAGGAGACUCGCAGGCCAUAUAGCUCCAUUUGUGGAGUCUGUACCUCCGAUGGGCACUAUGUACGCUCCUUUGAACGUUUAGAGAAAUAACAGUUCGAGUACCAUCCCUUGAAAAAAAUAAAAAUAAAACAACGAAACGAAACAUUAUUCAUUUUUUAUUAGUUAUUCAUGUAAUCCUCAUCACUUUAUUUAAUUCAUACGAUACGAGAGUACUUAAUAAUUUAACAGCUGACACUAGGCUCAACGUUGACUCCCAACUGGUGGCAGUAAGCGGUAUAGUAGCCGACCCGAGCCCUGACGGCGGGGACGUUGCCGCCGUUGUAUUCCAUACCGUUAAUCCUACGGA